GAUAGUCACACAGAGAGAGAGGCAGAGACACAGGCAGAGGGAGAAGCAGGCCCCAUGCACCGGGAGCCCGACGUGGGAUUCGAUCCCGGGUCUCUAGGAUCACGCCCUGGGCCAAAGGCAGGCACCAAACCGCUACGCCACCCAGGGAUCCUGUACAGCUGUAUUUUUAAAACCAACUACAUCUUAGUGAAUUCCAUAAAGAUUCAGUAUUUGUUCACAAAUACAGGUGGAGAGAAAGUCCAUUCGGAGUGGGGAGGAGGGAUGGCCAAAUUUAAACUGACUGGAUCAGAAGAAUUAGAAUAUCUAAAGCGAAGGUUCCCAACCAGAGGUGGACACCACCACGGACCUCUUAAAACCACAGAAACUUUGUACCCAGCCCAGCCCCCCUAAAUCUCCAGGGGUAAUGUCCGGGCUGGGCUGUUGAAAGAUCUGUGGAGGUCACCGUGCACGCGCUCAGGUGGGAACACUGGUGCAGCAGAGGCACAGGGGCCGGAGUGGAAGGAGCUCUCACCUGGAUCUGAGUCAGAAUCAUCCUGAAUUAGCCACACAAAAGGAUCUGUGUACCGUGAAUCACAAACCCAGAAGUCAAAAUGUGGGAAAAGAUGAGAGAGCCCUGGAAAGGUGAGCAAGAACAUCCAGGGAGGGUGGGCUGGAAAAGGGCAGGAGGGUCUCACUGUGGUUUCCCCCAGGUGCCUGGUGCAUAGUGGGGACACAUAUUUGAUGAAUGAGACUCACUCGGCUGAUAAGCACAUGCUGAUGCACAUCACCAAGCUUCCACAGAGCCACCUACUGUGUGCAGAAACCCUGAGUCAGCUCCAGCAACUCAGGCCAAGAGUCCCUCUUGCGGUUCCCCACUGGAAGAAUAGUUUUCCUUCAGGAAAGACAGUGUAGAAGUGUUCUAGAAGCAUGGCCCUCUUUAACAAUUCUUAGUCAUCAAGGAAGCCUCUUUCUGCCUCCAAAUCACAGAUGACUCUUCUCCUGGUUCCCAGUUAUGUAGGUCACCCAUCAAUUUUAUAUUUUAUGAUUAAGGUAGAACUCAAAGGUGAAAGGAAAUUAGGGAGGUAUUCUGAAAACGCAACAAAAUGAGAAAACCUUUUACCAAGCUAAGAAAGAACAAUAUCGGCCUUAUCUUAUCUCUCCGGUGUUUAAAACAAAGGCAGAUUUUGAAUUACGGGAAUUUCUCAGCUCUGCCUCUAUGAAAAAUGCUAUUGGAGGGGCACCCGGCUGGCUCAGUGGUUGAGCAUCUUGCCUUUGGCUCAGGUUGUGAUCCCAGGGUCCUGGGAUCGAGACCCGCAUCAGGCUCCCUGCGAGGAGCCUGCUUCUCCCUCUGCCUAUGUCUCCGCCUCUCAUGAAUAAAUAAAUAAAAUCUUUUUUUUUUUUUUUUUAAGAAAAUGCUAUUAGGUAGCUUGUCUUCCGUUUUGCUCUCAAUGAAAACACUUGCUAAGGUCUUCUGAGGGUUCCAGAUUUCUGGCCGGGGCUGCCAUCCCUCAGCUGAUGGGGGGCUCUUUCUGACUCCAGCCACCACGGUCUCCCAAAGGCUUUGAGAUGAAAAUGCAGCCAGGGGAAGGGGCUGAAAGAGAUUCCACCAAAGGAAGCAUCGCUCACAAUGGUUUCAAUGGUCUGCAAUCAGUUAGCCCCCAGGACAUCCCCAGCCACAGGGAUGGGUGAUCUGAAAAUGAAGCAUAUCAAAAUGCUAUUGAUAAGCUAAAUUACCAGACAGCUUAUCUGAGGCCCACAUCCGCCAUAUGGUGCCCCAACUUCUGCCGCCUGUUGCGGCCGCAACAAUAGGCACGCCUACCCGGAGAGCACCGUCGGACAGAAACCCAGCAGCAGCGGCAUGUGGGGCGGCUGCUGUGUUUACAUUUUAUUCUGCGCUAUUAGCCUCGUGCCUCCCCCACCAUCCCAGGAGGGCCUGCAACACAGCACACAUUCGACAUCAAAAAUAUGCGUUACCUACAGGACACACGCACGCCCGCGAUGCGUGUGUGUGUGUGUGUGUGCGUGCGCGCAUGUGUGCACCCAGGUAUACAUCAGGUGAAGAGAGCAAACCAGAUGUCAGCCCCGGGAACGGAGCUGCCUGGUGGGGGAGGGCGAGCCAGGCGGGCUCCCAGCGAGAGCUGCAAGCAGACAAUGCGCUUUUCUCAAAACACUCGGGCGGGCGGGCCUCGGGGAGUGGCUAUUUAAAACACUUGGCUCCUUUUAUUUCACCACCGUGGAAGUGAAUUCGGCUCUUAAGUGCCAGAGCAAAUGAAGUCAUUUGGUUUCUGCGGGCUCCCUUUGCAUUUCAGCAGAAGUCAGAACUGGACGAAAGUCGGAAGGUCCAGCUGAAGUUGUUCUUUCUUCCAAUUAAAAUUGAUUCCACAGAGGAUUUGGCGCCUGGGCUUCAUUAACUUUUUUUUUUUCUUUCUUUCUUGGAAAAGGCUCUAAGGUCGCAGAAAAUUUAAAGGACAUCAGGCAGUGGAAUGAACGCUGUCAAAGAUGCCUCCUGUCAUAGAAUGCCAUCAGGUCAAGAUGUAAAGAUGAACAAACAAAUGCAGAUAGCACCUUCUAAAGGCUUGGUUGGUAUCCAAGAUUAAUGGUGGUUCUCGCUGAAUGAAUUCGUAAGAUUUCUGCAUUUAUUGCUUUCUACUCCCUACCCUCUAAAGAGGUUCCUCUCUUCACAGAGAUUUUAUCAUUAACGGUAAUAAAAUAUUCAUUUAUUUAUAGUUUACUACCUAUUAGGUAAAAGACACUGGUUUUCAAAGAGACCUCAGCAACACAUAGCAUCCGGUUGUGCAAAAAAUGUACAAGAUGCAGGUUUGGUUACAGUGCAAAGCAAAAAAAAAAAAAAAAAAAAAAAGGACAGUCAAUCUAACAUUCAGAUCUAGUUAAUUAUUACAGAAAAGCACUCAUUUUCAUCCCCCCCACAAUUACCAACACCUAAGCAGAAAACAUUCUUGGAUGAACUUUUCAAAUUUUCUUAAACAUUCUCAGUUAAAAAAAAAAAAAAAAAAAAAA
rnacentral:lncRNA from 1 species